UGGGGAUAUAGCUCAGUUGGUAGAGUGCUUGCCUCGCAUGAAAAGAAAAGAAAAGAGAAGGAGAAAAAGAAAAAGAAAGAAAGAAAAUAUGUGGCUCAGUGUAAGCACCCCUGGGCUCAAUCCCUGGUACCUAA
rnacentral:tRNA from 1 species